rnacentral:tRNA from 1 species
AGUUAAGUAGCCCAGUGGAUAGAGCACCAGAUUGGGAAUCAGGAAGACCUGACUUCAAAUUUAGCUUCAAUUA